rnacentral:misc_RNA from 1 species
GUGAAUCAUCAAAUCUUUGAACGCAAAUUGCACUCUUCUCUAUGAGUAUGCGUAUUUCUGGGCCAGCCUAUAAUAUACCGACAUCGUUGCUGUUUCGCGGUGGCGUUCGUCGGACCUUGUGUCAUCUUACAUCUCUUGGUUUUAAGCGACUUAAAAUUUUCUUUUUGGUUCCAUGAACGUUUCUAAGAUUUAUUCCUUUACACGUUUAAGGUAUCGAUUCUUCUUAGACGUGUUUAUC